rnacentral:rRNA from 1 species
UACGGGGGGGGCAAGCGUUGUUCGGAAUUACUGGGCGUAAAGGGCGCGUAGGCGGUUGGAUAAGUCAGCUGUGAAAACCACGAGCUUAACUCGUGGCCUGCAGUUGAGACUGUCUGGCUUGAGUGUGGGAGAGGAGAGUGGAAUUCCUGGUGUAGCGGUGAAAUGCGUAGAUAUCAGGAGGAACACCGGUGGCGAAGGCAGCUAACUAUUCUACUCCUGACACUGAGGCAUGAAAGCGUGGGUAGCAAACCGG